CAGCACGAUGUCCUGGCAGGGCACAGGGGUCACUCAGAGCUCAGCUGUGGCACCAGAACUGCUGCAGGGGUGUCACCGCGUGGCCCCAGCCUGCAGAACUGCGGAGGCACGGACAGACAGACCCCAGCAGGUGGAGGACAAGCUUUCUAGAACUCUGCAACAUUUUGGAUCCCUGGAAGUGUCUGAGGCCAGGCUGGACAGGACUUGAAGCAAGUGAGAGGUUGGAGGUUGGAACUGGAUGGUCUCUAAGGUCCCUUCCAACCCAAAUCAGUCUGUGAUUCUGUGAUUUGUGAAAAAACUAAAAAGAACUUGUCAAGAACACUUCUCUCCAAUAAACAAGAAUUUGAGACCGUAA